CAGUUUGGUGGCGUGAUAAAUGCGACAAACUAGUCAGGUAACAAAUUCGGCAUUCAGUUGCGUUAUCAGUGGAGGGAAUAACAUAUGCUCGGACAGUUUCUAAUUGUAUGUGAAAAGUUGUGCAUCAUUUAGUCCGUCGUUGAAUUUAUUUACCAAACGAAUAAUCAAAUUUGAUCAGGAGUCACCGAAGAAUACCAGCUUUAGGGUAACAAACAGGUUCAACUGCAUGGAAAAAGAUAUCAUUUUGGGUUCUGCAACUUCAGUGUUUAGGGCUUCCUUUUCAGAGUCAAGAAGCGUUCAAAACUACGGAAGUGGCGUGAUUACAGAGUGAGUUUUUUGAACCGACAAAUUGAGGCUGAGCUUGCCUUAAGCGUAGCUUACAAUCCAUGGCAGUCUAUGUCACAAUAGGCGUUACCAUCAGUUACGCUUAAGCUAAAGUCUGUAAUAGUGGAGCUGUAAACCUCGAAAGAACUACGAGUAUAACACUUUUCAAAAUGUUUAAUUAAUCUUGCACUUUUCAA